UUGCAUAUCAAUAAGCGGAGGAAAAGAAACCAACAGGGAUUGCCCCAGUAACGGCGAGUGAAGCGGCAAGAGCUCAAAUUUGAAAGCUGGCCCCCUCGGGGUCCGCAUUGUAAUUUGCAGAGGAUGCUUCGGGAGUGGCCCCCAUCUAAGUGCUCUGGAACGGGCCGUCAUAGAGGGUGAGAAUCCCGUAUGGGAUGGGGUGUCCGCGACCAUGUGAAGCUCCUUCGACGAGUCGAGUUGUUUGGGAAUGCAGCUCUAAAUGGGUGGUAAAUUUCAUCUAAAGCUAAAUAUUGGCCGGAGACCGAUAGCGCACAAGUAGAGUGAUCGAAAGAUGAAAAGCACUUUGAAAAGAGAGUUAAAAAGCACGUGAAAUUGUUGAAAGGGAAGCGCUUGCGACCAGACUCGCCUACGGGGUUCAGCCGGUAUUCGUACCGGUGUACUUCCCCGUGGGCGGGCCAGCGUCGGUUUGGGCGGCCGGUCAAAGGCCCUCGGAAUGUAACGCCUCUCGGGGCGUCUUAUAGCCGAGGGUGCCAUGCGGCCAGCCCGGACCGAGGAACGCGCUUCGGCACGGACGCUGGCAUAAUGGUCGUAAGCGACCCGUCUUGAAACACGGACC
rnacentral:rRNA from 1 species